rnacentral:rRNA from 1 species
CAGCCGCCGCGGUAAUACCGGCGGCCCGAGUGGCGGCCACUAUUAUUGGGCCUAAAGCGUCCGUAGCCGGGCUGGUAAGUCCCCCGGGAAAUCUGGCGGCUUAACCGUCAGAAUUCCGGGGGAUACUGCCAGCCUAGGGACCGGGAGAGGCCGGGGGUAUUCCCGGGGUAGGGGUGAAAUCCUGUAAUCCCGGGAGGACCACCUGUGGCGAAGGCGCCCGGCUGGAACGGGUCCGACGGUGAGGGACGAAGGCCAGGGGAGCGAACCGGAUUAGAUACCCGGGUAGUCCUGGCGGUAAAGGAUGCGGGCUAGGUGUCGGGUGAGCUGCGAGCUCGCCCGGUGCCGUAGGGAAGCCGUUAAGCCCGCCGCCUGGGGAGUACGGCCGCAAGGCUGAAACUUAAAGGAAUUGGCGGG